GACGAAGGGGCAAGCGUUGUUCGGAAUUACUGGGCGUAAAGGGCGCGUAGGCGGUUCUUUAAGUCAGGCGUGAAAGCCCUGGGCUCAACCUGGGAGUGGCGCUUGAUACUGGAGGACUAGAGAGUGGGAGAGGUUGGUGGAAUUCCCAGUGUAGAGGUGAAAUUCGUAGAUAUUGGGAAGAACACCGGUGGCGAAGGCGGCCAACUGGACGUAUUCUGAUCGC
rnacentral:rRNA from 1 species